CACGUGGGCAACCUGCCUGUAAGACUGGGAUAACUCCGGGAAACCGGGGCUAAUACCGGAUAACUCUUUUCCUCACAUGAGGAAAAGCUGAAAGAUGGUUUCGGCUAUCACUUACUGAUGGGCCCGCGGCGCAUUAGCUAGUUGGUGAGGUAACGGCUCACCAAGGCCACGAUGCGUAGCCGACCUGAGAGGGUGAUCGGCCACACUGGGACUGACACACGGCCCAGACUCCUACGGGAGGCAGCAGUAGGGAAUCUUCCGCAAUGGACGAAAGUCUGACGGAGCAACGCCGCGUGAGUGAUGAAGGUUUUCGGAUCGUAUAACUCUGUUGUCAGGGAAGAACA
rnacentral:rRNA from 1 species